UACAGAGGUCUCAACCGUUGUUCGGAUUCAUUGGGCGUAAAGGGUGCGUAGGCGGUCGCGCAAGUCGGAUGUGAAAUCUCAGGGCUCAACCCUGAAACUGCAUUCGAUACUGCCGUGCUUGAGGACUGGAGAGGAGACUGGAAUUUACGGUGUAGCGGUGAAAUGCGUAGAUAUCAGGAGGAACACCGGUGGCGAAGGCGGGUCUCUGGGCAGUAACUGACGCUGAGGAGCGAAAGCGUGGGGGAGCGAACAGG
rnacentral:rRNA from 1 species